GAGUAAUGAUGUUUAAACCUAUUCCAUUGCUGAAAUAUGUUGUUGGAAAAAAAAAAAACCUGAACUC
rnacentral:snoRNA from 1 species